GCGGGUUUAGCUCAGUUGGGAGAGCGUCAGACUGAAGUCAACUUCAGGACUACUUAAUCUGAAGGUCAUGUGUUCGAUCCACAUAAACCGCA